GGAAGUAAAAGUCGUAACAAGGUCUCCGUUGGUGAACCAGCGGAGGGAUCAUUACUGAGUUUACGCUCUACAACCCUUUGUGAACAUACCUAUAACUGUUGCUUCGGCGGGUAGGGUCUCCGCGACCCUCCCGGCCUCCCGCCUCCGGGCGGGUCGGCGCCCGCCGGAGGAUAACCAAACUCUGAUUUAACGACGUUUCUUCUGAGUGGUACAAGCAAAUAAUCAAAACUUUUAACAACGGAUCUCUUGGUUCUGGCAUCGAUGAAGAACGCAGCGAAAUGCGAUAAGUAAUGUGAAUUGCAGAAUUCAGUGAAUCAUCGAAUCUUUGAACGCACAUUGCGCCCGCCAGCAUUCUGGCGGGCAUGCCUGUUCGAGCGUCAUUUCAACCCUCAAGCUCUGCUUGGUGUUGGGGCCCUACAGCCGAUGUAGGCCCUCAAAGGUAGUGGCGGACCCUCCCGGAGCCUCCUUUGCGUAGUAACUUUACGUCUCGCACUGGGAUCCGGAGGGACUCUUGCCGUAAAACCCCCCAAUUUUCCAAAGGUUGACCUCGGAUCAGGUAGGAAUACCCGCUGAACUUAAGCAUAUCAAUA
rnacentral:rRNA from 1 species